rnacentral:rRNA from 1 species
GCAUGAAGUCGGAAUUGCUGUAAUCGCGGAUCAGCAUGCCGCGGUGAAUACGUUCCCGGGCCUUGUACACACCGCCCGUCACACCAUGGGAGCCGGUAAUACCCGAAGUCAGUAGUCCAACCUCGUGAGGACGCUGCCGAAGGUAGGAUUGGCGACUGGGGUGAAGUCGUAACAAGGUAGC